AACCCCAGGCUAGGCCUGGGGUUCAAAAAAGCUUAUAGCUUUAAGUAUAUUAUGUAAGCCUCCGAGGGAAUAAUUUUAAUGGUCUGGCAACCAAAACCCGAGGAGG
rfam:Epulopiscium sp. SCG-B11WGA-EpuloA1 SCGB11WGA_90, whole genome shotgun sequence.